rnacentral:rRNA from 1 species
AGCGAACGCUGGCGGCGUGCUUAACACAGGCAAGUCGAGUGCGCGUUUCUGUAGCAAUACAGGAAUGGCGCACGGCGCACGGGUGCGUAACACGUGGGUAAUCUGCCCUCUGAUGGGGAAUAACCCGCCGAAAGGCGGGCUAAUUCCGCAUAACAUUCCGGGGACCUCGGUCUCUGGAUUCAAAGGCGUAAGUCGUCGGAGGAGGAGCCCGCGCACGAUUAGCUAGUUGGAGGGUAACGGCCUACCAAGGCUAUGAUCGUUAGCUGGUCUGAGAGGAUGGCCAGCCACACUGGAACUGAGACACGGUCCAGACUCCUACGGGAGGCAGCAGUGGGGAAUCUUGCGCAAUGGGCGAAAGCCUGACGCAGCGACGCCGCGUGGGGGAUGAAGGCCUUAGGGUUGUAAAGCUCUUUUGCCCGGGAUGAUAAUGACAGUACCGGGAGAAUAAGCUCCGGCUAACUCCGUGCC